UUCAGAGGGUGCGAGCGUUAAUCGGAAUUACUGGGCGUAAAGCGCACGUAGGUGGCGACGUAAGUCGGGUGUGAAAGCCCCGGGCUCAACCUGGGAAUUGCAUUCGAGACUGCAUUGCUGGAGUACGGAAGAGGAGGGCGGAAUUCCCGGUGUAGCGGUGAAAUACGUAGAUAUCGGGAGGAACAUCAGUGGCGAAGGCGGCCCUCUGGUCCAGUACUGACAAUCAAGUGCGAAAGAGUGGGGAGCAAACAGG
rnacentral:rRNA from 1 species